UGGGGAAUAUUGCACAAUGGGCGCAAGCCUGAUGCAGCCAUGCCGCGUGUGUGAAGAAGGCCUUCGGGUUGUAAAGCACUUUCAGCGAGGAGGAAGGGUAGUGUGUUAAUAGCACAUUGCAUUGACGUUACUCGCAGAAGAAGCACCGGCUAACUCCGUGCCAGCAGCCGCGGUAAUACGGAGGGUGCAAGCGUUAAUCGGAAUUACUGGGCGUAAAGCGCACGCAGGCGGUUUGUUAAGUCAGAUGUGAAAUCCCCGCGCUUAACGUGGAACUGCAUUUGAAACUGGCAAGCUAGAGUCUUGUAGAGGGGGGUAGAAUUCCAGGUGUAGCGGUGAAAUGCGUAGAGAUCUGGAGGAAUACCGGUGCGAAGGCGGCCCCCCUGGACAAAGACUGACG
rnacentral:rRNA from 1 species